AGUGGCGACCGGGUGAGUAAAAGGGACUAACCUACCUUCGAGUGGGGAAUAACCUCGGGAAACCGGGGCUAAUACCGCAUAAUGUCUUCGGACCAAAGGAGCAAUUCGCUGGAAGAGGGGGUCGCGGCCGAUUAGCUAGUUGGUGGGGUAACGGCCCACCAAGGCAAUGAUCGGUAGCCGGCCUGAGAGGGCGCACGGCCACACUGGAACUGAAACACGGUCCAGACUUCUACGGGAGGCAGCAGUGGGGAAUUUUGCGCAAUGGGGGAAACCCUGACGCAGCAACGCCGCGUGGAGGAUGAAGCCCCUUGGGGUGUAAACUCCUUUCGAUCGGGACGAUAAUGACGGUACCGGAUGAAGAAGCACCGGCUAACUCUGUGCCAGCAGCCGCGGUAAUACAGAGGGUGCAAGCGUUGUUCGGAAUUAUUGGGCGUAAAGGGUGCGUAGGCGGUGUGGUAAGUCUGUUGUGAAAUCUCCGGGCUCAACUCGGAGCCUGCAACGGA
rnacentral:rRNA from 1 species